rnacentral:rRNA from 1 species
AUUGAACGCUGGCGGCAGGCCUAACACAUGCAAGUCGAACGAGUGGCGGACGGGUGAGUAAUGUCUGGGAAACUGCCUGAUGGAGGGGGAUAACUACUGGAAACGGUAGCUAAUACCGCAUACCAUCGGAUGUGCCCAGAUGGGAUUAGCUAGUAGGUGGGGUAAAGGCUCACCUAGGCGACGAUCCCUAGCUGGUCUGAGAGGAUGACCAGCCACACUGGGACUUAAACACGGUCCAAACUCCUACGGGAGGCAGCAGUGGGGAAUAUUUCACAAUGGGCGCAAGCCUGAUGCAGCCAUGCCGCGUGUUUGAAGAAGGCCUUCGGGUUGUAAAGUACUUUCAGCGGGGAGGCGUUACCCGCAGGAGAAGCACCGGCUAACUCCGUGCCAGCCACCGCGGUAAUAC